rnacentral:lncRNA from 1 species
GAAAACACUUGGGCUGUAGAAUCACAAUUCCUGGAUUCCAGCGAUGCCUCCACACUCAGCAGCUAUUUAAGAUUUUAUAUUCACUGCCACACGCCUGGCACCUGGUGCUCUGUCAGUACUGGACAAAGGAAUGGAUGAGGCGAGGGUCAUUUUACCUGUGUGGCAGGUGGAAUUCAUUAACUCCAGGAAUGACUACAGUCACCAGUCACAGAGGAGCUGAAGGCCAUUGUGUGACAAGUUAGGAAGAGGUUUCUGCUCCCACCUGCUCGGCCACUGGCAGCCAUGCAGCCCUCAACAACGUCUCCGUGUCCUCAUUUCGAAAGAGAACUAGAUUGAAUUCAUUACAUGAGAAGCAUUUCAGCAUACCUCUGACAUAGGUCCCUUGGCCUUUUUAAUUAUCUGUGGUGGUCUAUUAGAGAAGGAACUAGAUUCAUCUAGAAGCCUAAGUCCUAAAGCCGAGCCCAAUCUUGAUUAUGGUUAAUGAAAUACUUUAUGCCUUGUUUUUUCCAUCCCUGGAAUGGGCAGAGUGUAUUUCUUGUAACAUAGUCUCAGGAAGUGACAUAAUGAUGCCCACAGGCAGUAUUUUUUUUUCUCUUUUUAAUCAGCACAAGCAAACAGAAAAACCUUUGUGAGGAUAUAAGCUAUUGUCCUUUCACAUGAAGGAAAAGUACCAUAAGUCUAGGGGAAGUCUGAGCAUCCUGAAAGCUGCUUUAGGGCAGGCCUGCAGCUGCAAGACCAUCCAGUGGAGUGAGGCCUUCUUCCAGGCCUUCCUUAACCAUUCUCCUGUGGUUGUAUUUUCUUCUUUUUAAAAUGGAUGCCGGGAGCAUGUUGUGGUUAUUUACCGGUGGUGCCUCUUCUGUCACU